CCCGCCGGCGACCGGCGCACGGGUGAGUAACACGUAUGAAACCUGCCCGUAGCAGGGGGAUAAGCGGAAGAAAUUCCGUCUAAUACCGCGUAACAACCCAUGGAGGCAUCUCUGUGGGUUUAAAGGAAGCGAUUCCGGCUACGGAUGGUCAUGCGUCGCAUUAGCUUGUUGGCGGGGUAACGGCCCACCAAGGCGACGAUGCGUAGGGGUUCUGAGAGGAACGGUCCCCACACUGGUACUGAGACACGGACCAGACUCCUACGGAAGGCAGCAG
rnacentral:rRNA from 1 species